rnacentral:rRNA from 1 species
AGUGAACGCUGGCGGCAGGCCUAACACAUGCAAGUCGAGCGGCAGCGCGUCCGACCACCCUCGGGUGGUCGGAUGGCGGCGAGCGGCGGACGGGUGAGGAAUGCAUCGGAAUCUGCCUCGUUGUGGGGGAUAACGUAGGGAAACUUACGCUAAUACCGCAUACGACCUACGGGUGAAAGUGGGGGACCUUCGGGCCUCACGCGAUGAGAUGAGCCGAUGCCGGAUUAGCUAGUUGGCGGGGUAAAGGCCCACCAAGGCGACGAUCCGUAGCUGGUCUGAGAGGAUGAUCAGCCACACUGGAACUGAGACACGGUCCAGACUCCUACGGGAGGCAGCAGUGGGGAAUAUUGGACAAUGGGGGCAACCCUGAUCCAGCCAUGCCGCGUGAAGGAAGAAGGCGCUCAGCGUUGUAAACUUCUUUUGGAUGGGAAUAAUAAUGUCGACAUGCUCGGCACUUGAAGGUACCAUCAGAAUAAGCACCGGCUAACUCCG